GUAGUACUAUAUGUAGUAUUAUUGCAGUACUCACAGUGAAGGUAGAUGUAGUACUAUAUGUAGUAUUAUUGCAGUACUCACAGUGAAGGUAUCUGUAGUACUAUAUGUAGUAUUAUUGCAGUACUCACAGUGAAGGUAGAUGUAGUACUAUAUGUAGUAUUAUUGCAGUACUCACAGUGAAGGUAGAUGUAGUACUAUAUGUAGUAUUAUUGCAGUACUCACAGUGAAGGUAGAUGUAGUACUAUAUGUAGUAUUAUUGCAGUACUCACAGUGAAGGUAGAUGUAGUACUAUAUGUAGUAUUAUUGCAGUACUCACAGUGAAGGUAGAUGUAGUACUAUAUGUAGUAUUAUUGCAGUACUCACAGUGAAGGCGGGGACAAGCGACUGG